GAUUAGCUUGUUGGCGGGGUAACGGCCCACCAAGGCAACGAUCAGUAGGGGUUCUGAGAGGAAGGUCCCCCACAUUGGAACUGAGACACGGUCCAAACUCCUACGGGAGGCAGCAGUGAGGAAUAUUGGUCAAUGGGCGAGAGCCUGAACCAGCCAAGUAGCGUGCAGGAAGACGGCCCUAUGGGUUGUAAACUGCUUUUAUAGGGGAAUAAAGUUAGUCUCGUGAGACUUUUUGCAUGUACCUUAUGAAUAAGGACCGGCUAAUUCCGUGCCAGCAGCCGCGGUAAUACGGAAGGUUCGGGCGUUAUCCGGAUUUAUUGGGUUUAAAGGGAGCGUAGGCCGGAGAUUAAGCGUGUUGUGAAAUGUAGACGCUCAACGUCUGCACUGCAGCGCGAGCUGGUUUCCUUGAGUACGCACAAAGUGGGCGGAAUUCGUGGUGUAGCGGUGAAAUGCUUAGAUAUCACGAAGAACUCCGAUUGCGAAGGCAGCUCACUGGAGCGCAACUGACGCUGAAGCUCGAGAGUGCGGGUAUCGAACAGGAUUAGGUACCCUGGUAGUCCGCACGGUAAACGAUGGAUGCCCGCUGUUGGUCUGAAUAGGUCAGCGGCCAAGCGAAAGCGUUAAGCAUCCCACCUGGGGAGUACGCCGGCAACGGUGAAACUCAAAGGAAUUGACGGGGGCCCGCACAAGCGGAGGAACACGUGGUUUAAUUCGAUAAUACGCGAGGAACCUUACCCGGGCUUGAAUUGCAGAGGAAGGAUUUGGAGACAAUGACGCCCUUCGGGGUCUCUGUGAAGGUGCUGCAUGGUUGUCGUCAGCUCGUGCCGUGAGGUGUCGGCUUAAGUGCCAUAACGAGCGCAACCCCUCUCCAUAGCUGCCAUCGGGUUAAGCUGGGCACUCUGGGGACACUGCCACCGUAAGGUGUGAGGAAGGUGGGGAUGACGUCAAAUCAGCACGGCCCUUACGUCCGGGGCUACACACGUGUUACAAUGGCAGGUACAGAGAGACGGUUGUACGUAAGUACGAUCAAAUCCUUAAAGCCUGUCUCAGUUCGGACUGGGGUCUGCAACCCGACCCCACGAAGCUGGAUUCGCUAGUAAUCGCGCAUCAGCCAUGGCGCGGUGAAUACGUUCCCGGGCCUUGUACACACCGCCCGUCAAGCCAUGAAAGCCGGGGGCGCCUAAAGUCCGUGACCGUAAGGAGCGGCCUAGGGCGAAACUGGUAAUUGGGGCUAAGUCGUAACAAGGUA
rnacentral:rRNA from 1 species